AGAAGUUAGCUAAAGAGAAAAAAAAUGCAAAAAGAAGGAGUCAUGGAACAUCAGGAAGGAAAAAGAACACAGUGGAUCCAAUAUUAUCACAAGGGUCCUUAUAAGAAGGACUCAGGAGAAUCAGCCACAGAAAGAGAAAAUAUAUAAGGAUGGAAGCACAGGAUAGAGCCAAGAGAAGGUGCUGUGCACUGCUGGCUUUGAAGAUGGAGGAAGGGGCUACAAACCAAGGCACGCAGUCAGCCUCUAGAAGCUGGAAAAAGCAAGGAAAUGGAUUUUCCCCUACAGCUCCAGAAGGAAUACAAGCCAGCCGACACCUUGAUUUCAGCUCAGGGAAACUGAUUUUGGAUUUCUGACUUUCAGAACUGUAUGAUAAAUUCAUGUUGUUUUAAGCUGC
rnacentral:lncRNA from 10 species